rnacentral:rRNA from 1 species
GUACACGCUGUGACUAGCAUAUCAAUAAGCGGAGGAAAAGAAACUAACAAGGAUUCCCCUAGUAACGGCGAGUGAAGCGGAAGAGCUCAAAUUUGAAAUCUUAAAGGGUUUCCCUUUACGAAUUGUAGUUUAAAGAAGUGUUUUCUGUUGAGGUUUUGGUAAAAGUUCUUUGGAAUAGGACAUCAUAGAGGGUGAGAAUCCCGUAUUUGACCAUUAUUUUCAGCUGUGUGAUACACUUUCAAAGAGUCGGAUUGUUUGGGAAUGCAGUCCAAAAUGGGUGGUAAAUUUCAUCUAAAGCUAAAUAUUGGCGAGAGACCGAUAGCGAACAAGUACCGUGAGGGAAAGAUGAAAAGAACUUUGAAAAGAGAGUUAAACAGUACGUGAAAUUGUCAAAAGGGAAGCGUUUGACACCAGUGUUGUUUUUCUGAAAAUCAAUUAAAGAACUGUUUAUGCUAAGUUGUUUAGACUUUAUCAGCUAACUGUUUAGUUUUGAGCUUUUCUUUAAUGCACUUUUCAGUUAACAAGUCAACAUCAAUUUCUUUUGCUGUAAAAAAGCUUGAGGAAGGUGGCUUGAGAUUCGUCUUAAGUGUUUAUAGCCUCUUGCCUAUGCAGUCGGAGAGAUUGAGGUCUGCAGCGUAGAUCCUUCGGGGCUAAAUGCAUUUGUGCUAAGUUAUAGCAUUUCAUAGACAACUUGUUGACUAUGAUUUGUCUUGUAGCUUACUCGCUUAUGUUAUUUUACCUACGCUUAGGAUGUUGACGAGACUGUCGAUCUC